rnacentral:rRNA from 1 species
UGGAUUAGGCAUGCAAGUCGCGCGAUUCUCGUAAGGGAAUAGCGGCAGACGGGUGAGUAACAAGUGAGUAAUCUUCCUCUUAACCGAACAUAGCUUCCUGAAAAGGGAGGUAAUAUUCGAUUGUGUCAAUGUGAUGCAUGUCAUUUUGACUAAAGGCGGGGACCGCAAGGCCUGUCGUUGAGAGAUGAGCUCGCUUCCUAUCAGCUAGUUGGUGAGGUAAUGGCCCACCAAGGCUUUUGACGGGUAGCUGGUCUGAGAGGAUGGUCAGCCACACUGGGACUGAGACACUGCCCAGACUCCUACGGGAGGCUGCAGUCGAGAAUCUUUAGCAAUGGACGCAAGUCUGACUUUGCGACGCCGCGUGAGGGAUGAAGGUUUUCGGAUCGUUUCCUC